GAUCUAGCCUAUCUCAAUC
rnacentral:miRNA from 1 species